GAGUUUGAUCCUGGCUCAGGAUGAACGCUAGCGGGAGGCUUAAUACAUGCAAGUCGAGCGGCAAGUUUUGAUAGCAAUAUUGGAACCUAGAGCGGCGCACGGGUGAGUAACGCGUACAUGACCUGCCCUAUACUGGGGGAUAGUCUUGGGAAACUGAGAAUAAUCCCGCAUGUGAUUAGAAUGCUGCAUGGCAAAUUAAUUAAAGCUGAGGCGGUAUAGGAUGGGUGUGCGUCUGAUUAGCUAGUUGGUAGUGUAACGGACUACCAAGCCUGCGAUCAGUAGCUGAUGUGAGAGCAUGAUCAGCCACACGGGCACUGAGACACGGGCCCGACUCCUACGGGAGGCAGCAGUAAGGAAUAUUGGACAAUGGUCGCAAGACUGAUCCAGCCAUGUCGCGUGCAGGAUGAACGAUCUAUGAUCUGUAAACUGCUUUUGUUCGGGAAUAAACCCCUUCACGUGUGGAGGGCUGAAUGUACCGAAAGAAUAAGGGUCGGCUAACUUCGUGCCCCCAGCCGCGGUAAUCC
rnacentral:rRNA from 1 species